rnacentral:lncRNA from 1 species
CAAUCUCAAACUUUGCCCUUUUUAAACAACUCAAAUCAAGCACUAAGAUUUAAAUACACGUUAAAUACAAAGUUAAGUCUGUUUGUUCUCUCACCAGCAUCCAGGGCUGCGGUCUCCUUCACAGUCAGUGUGAGCGCCCGCGUCACAUCCUGCCUCCUGCUCCCGUUGGGCUGUCCUGUGACACCGCCUCGUGCCCGUUGAGUUCCCAAAUACUACUCGCUGAUUCAAUACCUUUGAGCCGAGCCGUGGUCGUCGUCCUCGCUGACCUCUCAUCGCUGACCUAGUGGCAUAACGACCGUGUUGCUUUAGUCUACGUGGGGCGUAUCCUGUUCUCUGGUUUUUACCAUAAAUGUAAAUGUACGGACUGAAUCCCCUGGUUGAGGAUUGAGCGAUGCCUCCUCCCAUUACAGCCCAUGAUUUUGUUCACCUGGAGCGCGAGCUUCUCUUGCCCUUCCGGAACUAAAAAUUAUAAUCCUUAGCAGAAAAAAACAUGAAGAAAAUUGUGACAAAAGACAGCGUGGAAAGAUUGGUAAGUCGCAAAGGACACGCCUUCCUGGCUGCCUGUGUUGCACAUCAGAGUAGGGCCCCCGCUGGACUGUGUUCCCGGCCAAACUAAUGGCAACACUUCCAUCAAAAUCCAAACGGAGACUUUAUCACGCUUUAGACCCAAUGCGCUUUCAACUUCUGCUCCAGCAUUUCAUCACUGCAGUCAUCGCUGCAUAAAUACAUGUGUUUUGUUAUUUCAAAAGAGAAGAUGCCUUUGGUCAGCUUUACUUCGCCGCAGGGUGCACUUGAGGCAAAAGGGGAAACGACAGACGGGAAUAAGGCACACGAGGCUGGAAUCUCGUACAACAAGGGCCAGGUUCUUCUCAGAGAAUCCACAAGGAGCAGUUGGGACGCUUCAUUAUUUCAACCCAAGUGACUUCUUGUUGAAUCAAUGGCAUCAGCCAAAGGGGACCGUGGAAUUCUCUCGUGACGUUUGUACAGCUGUCUUUUUAAUGCUCCUCCCUUCGCCACGUCAGCAACUGUGUUGACGUAGUCCUGGACUUGUAACACUGUGUGAUUCUGUGGUUUUUUGAAGCACAUUUUGUGCUUUUAUUCUGUUUCCUGUUCUCACGCAGGUCGGAAGCCGUUUUGUUACUUC